ACGCCAAAUGAUGAGCCUGGAAUGAAAUUUCUCACGACGGUCGUCUGAGACGUCUUAACAAGCGUCAUCCCGAUGAAACGUUCCAACUCUGAUGGUU